AUACUGAGGGUGCAAGCGUUAAUCGGAAUUACUGGGCGUAAAGCGCACGUAGGCGGUUUAUUAAGUCAGAUGUGAAAGCCCUGGGCUUAACCUGGGAACUGCAUUUGAGACUGGUAGGCUAGAGUAUGGUAGAGGAUAGUGGAAUUCCGGGUGUAGCGGUGAAAUGCGUAGAUAUCCGGAGGAACAUCAGUGGCGAAGGCGGCUAUCUAGACCAAUACUGACGCUGAGGUGCGAAAGCGUGGGGAGCAAACAGGAUUAGAUACCCUAGUAGUCC
rnacentral:rRNA from 1 species